AGCCAUUGGGAGGUCAGGAUUGGGGGAAGAGGAGAGGAGGAGGGUGCCUCAGUUUCUUCUUCCCUACCCUACAUAGACCGGAGGAGGACUUCCUGAGGUUCAAAGUCCAGAGCGGUUGUAACUUCCUAUAAAAACCCUAGAAGCAGCCCUGCCUCUAUGGAACAGCUGCUGGCAGUGUCUGCAGCAGGAGCGCAGGGGAGCCUGGACGCCGCGUAAGCCUACAAAAACCUCAGCAGGAAAACAAAUUACAAACAAAAGCCUAGACCAUACCUGAGCCAAACACCUCAAGGACUUGAGCCGAAGGACUCUGGGGACCUGACGAUUGCCCCUUUGCCUCAGCUGCUCUCCAACCUUGAUCCCAUUUAUCUGUUGUUGGCAGUCUUUGAGAGCUGCUAGGUCCGAAACCAUCAUGACCCUAGAGGCUGGUUCUCUUGGUGAUAGACUGUCAAUCCCUGGGACUCGGUCAACAUCUUUCCAGCUCAUCGGUUCCUGCUAUGGCUUAAGGUUUGGAGUCUGAGAACCUAGGGUCAGCGCUCCACCCCGAUGAGACGUAGAAGUUGGACUUCAAUGAAGCAGCAGAGGGAGCUUCUAAUCCAUACUUUAGGGUAGAAAUCAGGCCAGACUACCCUGUUUGAGCCAAGAGAAGACUGAAGAGCAGGAAAGCCCAGGGGGAGGAGCAAGGGCAGGGGAGAUGCCAGAAGGCAUUUCUGUCAAUUAAUCAAUCAAUAAACAUUUGUGAAGUGUCUACUAAGUGCCAGGAACACAAAAAGAGGCAAAAGACAGACCCUCCUGUCAAGGAACUCACAAUCUGAUGGCAGAGAACACAAGCCAACAAAUACAUACAGGUAAGUGCUGUCCAGGAUAAAUUGGAAUGAACAGAAGGAAGGCACUGAAACUUGGACAAGGCUUUGUGCAGGAAGGAGAACUUUCCAGGCAUGGGGGACAGCUGGAGAAAAUUCCUGGAGCUGAGAGAUGGAGGAUCUAGUCUUCAGAAGACUGAAACCUAACUCCAGCAGAGAACUCAACUCCUCUCCCACUCAGAACCCCUCUGACUCUUGUCCUGAUAGAAGCACAUAGUUCAAAAAAAGCCCUCAGCAGUGAGAUGAAGCAUGGAACAAAAGAAAGAGUAGAAGACUGGGCAUCAGAAGACCUGGGUUCUGCCUAUUCUUACUUGGGUGACCUUGAGUUCAUCCCUUCUGUCUCUGGGCCUCAGUUUCCUCAUCUGUAAAAUGAGGGGUGGGACUUCAUGACCUCUAAGGUCCCUCCCAGCUUUGGGUCCAUGAUCCUGCAAGUUUCCUCCCUGUUUUCUGGCUCCAGCCCCAUCCAAGGAGUCAGACUUGGUUUGUUUAUUAUGAUGUGGUGAACGGCAUACUUCUUCAAACAAACCACAUUCCUCAGACUUGGUGACAGCAUUUCAGGGAGACUUUGCAUGGUGAUGCUUUCCCUCCAAAGAAAGUGUGGACAGAAUGAUGGGCUCCUUGGACCCCCAGGGCCCACACAGCUGCUGCUGGCAUGGAAGGCAACCAUGACCAUCCCAGAAUAUCCAGGAGGAAGAACCAGAGCUGAGUUGUCUGUAGCACCUUAAGGGCUGAUAAUUGUUGACUUGCUUUGUCUUAUUAGAGACUCACAUUGUGGUGAGAUCUCUGGCAUUACUAUUCUCAUUUUACAGAAGAGAGAAGGGCAGCUAAGAGAGGCUAGGGGAGUUGCCCAUGGUCACAUGACUAAUAAAUGUCAGAGGUGAGAUAUGAAUUCAGGUCUAUCUUCCUCCUAAUCCAGAACUGUACCUGCUAUUCCAGGAGACCAGCAAGGGGGCAAUCAACAAAUAUUUACAGAGCAGUUAUUAGAGACAAUGUGUUACAGUGGUGAGGUUUGCAGUUGGGAGACCUGGGUCUUAGAUCUUCAGAGAGUUGUCUGAGGGCAGUGCGAUGUGAAGUCACUUGCUCACAGUCACACCAGCAAAAUAUGCUGAGCAGUCUUGAGCCCACCUUCCUUCCUCCAAGGCUGGCUCUAUUCAUUUUAGUUUUGUGUCUUUCAAGCACUGUAUUAAAUACUAGUGUCAAUAAUAGUAUCAAUAUUGAUAGUAUCAAUAAUAGUGUCAAUUAUUGAUAAUGUUAUUGAUAUGCAAAGACUUGAUUGAAUGAAUUUCAGUAAUGGCUACUGGGACAAUUACUUUUUUCCAGUUUUUCUGUGAGCAUUAAAGAAUGAACCUACAUGGAGUAGAACCAA